AGAUGAGGUUCCUGGCAAAGCUUCUCCAUUAGCUUGGCUGCAUAAAGUUUUGAAGUCCUCUGCGCCUCCUGCAGGUGUGUCUGCAGAGAGGACUUUCUCAGCUCCUUUGCUGAUUAGUGUGCAGAAGCCCCACUUCCAUCGCAGGGGUCCUCCGAGUGACAAGGACAAACGUAUAGAAGAGAAGGAAUUCCCGGAGUCAAACAACAUCCAGAAACAAAUUGUGGAGGAACUGCAGAAAGGGCCUGGUGGGUUCAUGUCCCCCUAAGCCUCCUCCUGAGACUCAGCAGCCAGGGACUUUCUCAACCCAUCUGGACACACUGUGCCCUGCACAGCCCCCUGCUGC